rnacentral:rRNA from 1 species
UACGGAGGGUGCAAGCGUUAUCCGGAUUUACUGGGUUUAAAGGGUGCGUAGGUGGGCAGGUAAGUCAGUGGUGAAAUCUCCGAGCUUAACUCGGAAACUGCCAUUGAUACUAUCUGUCUUGAAUAUCCUGGAGGUAAGCGGAAUAUGUCAUGUAGCGGUGAAAUGCUUAGAUAUGACAUAGAACACCAAUUGCGAAGGCAGCUUACUGCGGGAUUAUUGACACUGAGGCACGAAAGCGUGGGGAUCAAACAGG